rnacentral:rRNA from 1 species
UACAGAGGUCCCCAGCGUUGUUCGGAUUCACUGGGCGUCAAGGGUGCGUAGGUGGUCGGGUAAGUCUGAUGUGAAAUCUCCGAGCUUAACUCGGAAAUGGCAUUGGAUACUAUCUGACUGGAGGGUUGGAGGGGGGACUGGAAUUCUCGGUGUAGCAGUGAAAUGCGUAGAUAUCGAGAGGAACAACAGUGGCGAAGGCGAGUCCCUGGACAACUCCUGACACUGAGGCACGAAAGCGAGGGGAGCAAACAGG